rnacentral:rRNA from 1 species
GGAUGCGAUCAUACCAGCACUAAAGCACCGGAUCCCAUCAGAACUCUGAAGUUAAGCGUGCUUGGGCGAGAGUAGUACUAGGAUGGGUGACCUCCUGGGAAGUCCUCGUGUUGCGUUCC